UGGGGGAUAUUGCACAAUGGGCGAAAGCCUGAUGCAGCGACGCCGCGUGGGGGAUGAAGGCCUUCGGGUUGUAAACUUCUUUUGCUCUGAACAAGGCAUGCUAAUGGGUGUGUUGAGUGUAGGGGUUGAUUAGCGCCGGCUAACUACGUGCCAGCAGCCGCGGUAAUACGUAGGGCGCGAGCGUUGUCCGGAAUUAUUGGGCGUAAAGGGAUUGUAGGUGGCUGGUUGCGUCUGUCGUGAAAGCUCAUGGCUUAACUGUGGGUUGGCGGUGGGUACGGGCUGGCUUGAGUGCAGUAGGGGAGGCUGGAAUUCCUGGUGUAGCGGUGGAAUGCGCAGAUAUCAGGAGGAAUACCGGUGGCGGAGGCGGGUCUCUGGGCUGUUACUGACACUGAGGAGCGAAAGCAUGGGGAGCGAACAGG
rnacentral:rRNA from 1 species